UUCUUGAUAUCACUUUCCAGUCCCUCCACAUUGCACUUUGAAAAAGCAGUUCUCUCAAGAGAUAUAAUGAAGGAUAUUGGAAUGGCAUGCCCUGGGAAGCUGCUCUUGGCCCGGUCUUCGGAAGCACUCAUGUGCAGAGUUAUUCCUUUAGGAAAGUUACAUAUCAGCAGAGGUCAUCAGCCAGAUAAAAUCCAAGGCAUAACCAGGCACUUGAAGCAGAGAGCAGAGAAAUGGUGAAGGUCAAGUGACUAUUUACUGAUGAUGUUGGAAACGUCUUUGACAGUUGCUGCUUCUCAAGCUGAAGGCAGGAGUCAUGUUGAUACAAAACACUAUUACAACUCUUCUUGAAAAGAAGAAAAAGAUUUUCACAAAUGCUUCCCUCCUCGUUUAUUGUCACUACCGUUUUUCCCCAGACUACUCUCAUUCUCGGCCCACGUAGGAAAUCAGAAGAUAAUUUAAAAUUAAAUGAUGAUGGCUCAGAGCUUCAAGCACUUAAAAAGAGAGAGGAAAGAAACGCAUCACAUCUUGACAGGGCUGCGAGUGAGGGCUGGAAGACUGCCAAGGAAGCCCAGAAGCGCCAUUGGCAAGAGGGGCUUUGGUACUUUGUGUGACCAGAGGGGACCUGUGCGACAUUCUCCCUCAUGCCCUGGGAUGGGCAUUUGAAGUCAUGAAAACCUAGGGAAGAGUUGAGAAAGAAUGGAAAGCAGGUGUACACAGAGCAUUAGUGAGUUGGGAAAAUCAGGUUGAACGCUUGAUUUACUAGUUACCGUCUUGUAAUAUAAACUUUCUAGGCAUU